rnacentral:snoRNA from 1 species
AGUGAUAUGAGGAGACUGAAACAUCUUAAAGUUUUCAUGUGGAUGACACAUAUAUGGUCUUCAAAGUUCUCUGAUCGCU